rnacentral:tRNA from 1 species
UAAUAAGAAACAAAUAUUGUUUUUAGUUUCGACCUAAAAUUUUGAUGGUAAUUCAUCCUUAUUAA